rnacentral:rRNA from 1 species
AGAGUUUGAUCCUGGCUCAGAUUGAACGCUGGCGGCAUGCCUAACACAUGCAAGUCGAACGGUAACAGGUCUAAUACAUCCUUCGGGGUGUUGUGGCGCUGACGAGUGGCGGACGGGUGAGUAAUGCUUAGGAAUCUACCCAGUAGUGGGGGACAACCCGGGGAAACUCGGGCUAAUACCGCAUACGUCCUACGGGAGAAAGUGGGGGAUCUUCGGACCUCACGCUAUUGGAUGAGCCUAAGUCGGAUUAGCUUGUUGGUGGGGUAAUGGCCUACCAAGGCGACGAUCCGUAGCUGGUCUGAGAGGACGAUCAGCCACACUGGGACUGAGACACGGCCCAGACUCCUACGGGAGGCAGCAGUGGGGAAUAUUGGACAAUGGGGGCAACCCUGAUCCAGCAAUGCCGCGUGUGUGAAGAAGGCCUGCGGGUUGUAAAGCACUUUCAGUAGAGAAGAAAAGCCUGGGGUUAAUAACUCCGGGUCUUGACGUAACCUACAGAAGAAGCACCGGCUAACUCCGUGCCAGCAGCCGCGGUAAUACGGAGGGUGCGAGCGUUAAUCGGAGUUACUGGGCGUAAAGCGCGCGUAGGCGGCUUGGUCAGUCGGAUGUGAAAGCCCCGGGCUUAACCUGGGAAUUGCAUUCGAUACUGCCAAACUAGAGUAUGGGAGAGGGAAGCGGAAUUUCCGGUGUAGCGGUGAAAUGCGUAGAUAUCGGAAGGAACACCAGUGGCGAAGGCGGCUUCCUGGCCCAAUACUGACGCUCAUGUGCGAAAGCGUGGGUAGCGA